rnacentral:rRNA from 1 species
GUACGGUAGGUGCGAGCGUUAAUCCGGAAGUUACUCGGGCGUAAAGCGGUGCGGCAAGGCGGUUGCUAAGACAGGUGUGAAAUCCCCGGGCUUAACCUGGGAACUGCGCUUGUGACUGGCAGGCUAGAGUACGGUAGAGGGGGUGGAAUUCCUGGUGUAGCAGUGAAAUGCGUAGAUAUCAGGAGGAACACCAGUGGCGAAGGCGACUCUCUGGUCUGUAACUGACGCUGAGGCUCGAAAGCGUGGGGAGCAAACAGGAUUAGAUACCCCUGUA